rnacentral:lncRNA from 1 species
AUCAGUUCAUCCAACUACCGGCAGUUCGGAUGAGCAACUGUUUUGGGCCUGGGUAGCCAAGGAAGCUGAGAAGGCAGAGCCCAUCCACAGAGCUGGACAUGCUGUCUGUCCCACGGGGCACCGGAGUCGCGUUUCUGGCUGCAGGCGAAAAGGAGCAGACACCUGCCGGUUUGCCCAGUGAGAAGAUUGCUGCUCUGCAGUUUGGUGGGUAACAGACACCAAUCUGUGCUCCCAUGAAAUUGAAUUCACUGCGAGGCGUACUGAAACACCACACAGCCUUCAGGCCCCAUUUAAAUCUGCCAAAAAAAGCGUGGAAAGGAUGUUUGGAUCGCUUUGUAUUGCCUCAUUCGUGCCUGCCAUUGUGCCAGCUCUCUCCUGAACCCAGGCUCCCUGUCCUGAAGGUACGGGACCGCGGGUGCGUGCAGAAUGAGCGUAACCAAGCGCCGGCAGAGAGAACAGGGAAGGGAUCGCACUGGAGGGAACRUGAGGAAACUUUUCACCUAAUGGAAAAAUGCUUUGGGGUCCUCAGCCUGCCAAGGGCAAAAGCUGGACGUGGGGAUGUUCCCCUCGCUCCCGUCUUCAGCAGCAGCCUCAGCCAUCAGAGCACAGCCCCUUCUACCCGCACCGCGCGCUCCGCGUUAGGAGCCUGCGCGGGCAGAGACCAGCCAGUCGCACGCGUGGAACAAGUGAUCCGGAGAGCUCCGCUUCUGCUGCGCUAAAUGCUUCCGAGCAGCGUUCAAGGGCAAAGUGCGGAUCACGGACUCCUGGGAGGAGAUGAUAUUAGUUGUCUCUCAAACCGUCAUCCGAGGCAGCAUGAGGAAUGAUCUUACAUCAAG